UUCCUCCGCAAAAAAAAGAAAAAAAAGGAAGCAGCGUCGCUUUUUUCCUCCUAAUCCGCGACAGCGCGGGCCCCCUCCCCCCUGGGCGCCACCACCCAGCUUCGGCGGCGAUGGCCGCCGCUGCCGCCGCCGCCGCUCCGUUCUCCAUCCGGUACCGUACGACUCCGCCGCUGCUGCUGCUUUCCGGACACCUGCAUUGCGGACUGACCUCGUGCUUGCUGCCGUUGUUGUUGUUGUUGUUGUUGUUGAAGGGGGUAUGCGGCGAGGGCGCGGGCGGGGGCGGCGGACGCGGGGAGGUGCUGGCCGUUCGGCGGGGAGGCGG
rnacentral:lncRNA from 1 species